rnacentral:rRNA from 1 species
CCAAAUGACUCUCGGCAACGGAUAUCUCGGCUCUCGCAUYGAUGAAGAACGUAGCGAAAUGCGAUACUUGGUGUGAAUUGCAGAAUCCCGUGAACCAUCGAGUCUUUGAACGCAAGUUGCGCCCGAAGCCAUUAGGCCGAGGGCACGCCUGCCUGGGUGUCGCA